UCAAGGGAACAAGACAAGGAAAAGCACAAAGGAAUAUGAACAAGAACAGUGUCUAUGCAGGAGGAGGAAGGCUGAUGUGGUAAAAGAAAUGAAUUGAGCCAUUACUGGAGCCAUAGACCAAAUGAAGAAAUACUGAUGUAAGAUUCCACUACGGGUUCCACGCUCAGAUUGUCUGUGACUCCGUCUCAACUCCCAUGCUUACUAAUACAUAACGAGGAGCACGGGCACAUGCCACUCCCAGCUUUGGUUUUAUCACCUGUAAAAUGGGGAUAACAGCUACUUCUCCCCGCACUGGGGAACAUAACGGAUGGAAAGCAUUAUAGCAUAGAACUUGGCGUACGGUAAGCGCAAUGCGUACGGUAAGCGCAAUUGUUAUCAUAACCAAUUCGAAACCUCCCAGUAAACCAGGUUUUAUUAUUC